UCUGGGAUGGAGCCUAGUAUGGAUCAGUGGGAUUUACUCAUCAUUCUGCCCUCAAGAAGCAGACAGGUGUUCCUGAUUGGUGUGGCUUUCCGAAAUUGAGAGUGGUCCAAAGCAGAUUUGUCCAUUCAGUCAACCCGACCUCCCUGACUCCAGGCCAGAGGGAGCUGACAUGAUGUGGGAGGAAAGGACGGGAGGAGGAAAA